GUGAUUGUUAGUGGUUUAAGUCAUUUUCUGAUGUUUAUGUUUUCACCUCGCUGUGACGUCAUCAGGAGUCUAAUUCCUGCGCUGAGACUCCCAGACCAGUCUAGACAUAGUUCAGUCACUUCAAUAGUUCUUCAGUGACUCACGUCAUACCGCCGCUCCCUGCUUUUAUUACCUCACUGGGCCUGUUGUGCUCCUACACUGUAUGGGACACGCCCAAAAAAACCAGAAACUGUUGUUCAGACUCUAAAGUCGCCACUGUGAAUGUGAGAGAAGACGUUUCCUGUGUCUGUGAGUCUCAUCUGGAGAAAUAACAACAGCUGUGGCAGCGGGGGCGUGGUCAAGCGCCGGUCUGUGACAGGAGGGCGGAGUCAGGGAAGGUAAGUGGCAGAAUCACUACACCUGACAUGAAUUAACCUGUUUGUGUGUGUCUUCCCAGUGACCGCGCCCUACUUAAGGAGGGAGAGCGAGCGCAGAGGGGCUGAUCUCUGAACUAGACGCUUCUUAUGUUGAUGUGUGUCUGUUCAUUUGGAAGUUGUUAGACUGAAAAGUGUGGCAAUAAAGCCCUUUUGGAAACCUGA